rnacentral:lncRNA from 1 species
AUAUAACAAGUUUUAUUCUUCAGCACACUUGUCCAUUGUGUCCUCAGGUUCCGGUACUCAUGAGAUCAUGAUGAACUUGACAGUGAUCAUUAAUAGGACCUUAUUGGCAACCAAGUAAGUGAUAAAGUGGGUCUUACCUCAGUACAGACCAUCUGAUCUUCAGAUAUCUUUUGUUUGUUUGUUUUUAUUCAUGAGAGAGGCAGAGACACAGACAGUGGGAGAAGCAGGCUCCCUAUGGGGAGCCCAAUGUGGGUCUUGAUCCCAGGACCCCGGGAUCACAACCUGAGCCAAAGGCAGACGCUCAACCACUGAGCCACCCAGGCGUCCCUGAUCUUAAGAUAGUUGAGUGAGUAUGGUUUACCUAACACAGUGUCACCUAGUUGUUUUGCACGUGUCCUUUCCUAAUAUGCAGGUGUGAGAAUAUGUAGUAUUAACUCAUUAGAGACCUGCUUGUUUUUCAUAUGUGAAUGGGGUUUUCAAGACUCUAUAUUAACUCUGUUUUUGGCAUGUAAGCAGUUCAGAAAUUAAUUUGGCCCAAAUAGUACUCAUAAGUAUGAGAUUUUACUGUGUUCUUAUUCAGAGAUUAUAUGUUUUAUACACCCAGAGUGGUGGAUAGGCAGAGAUCCAGGUAAUUUAUCAUAUUAUCCAUCACCACAUUAUUGCCCAUGAAAUUUUUGCAGGUAUCCUUUCAACAGAGGAAGGUAUCUCUCUCCUUUUAUUUUUUUUUAAAUAUUUUAUUUGUUUAUUCAUGAGAGACACAGAGGGAGAGGCAGAGACAUAGGCAGAGGGACAAGCAGGCUCCCUGCAGGGAGCUGAAUGCAGGACUCCAUCCCAGGACUCCGGGGUCAUGACCUGAGCCGAAGGCAGCCGCUCAACCACUGAGUCACCCAGGCACCCCAGGAAGAUAUCUCUUAUUAGGGUAGCAACCUCAGAGUUCUGCAAUUAUCCAGGUAACAUUGAUGAAUCUCAAAAUCAUACAGUUGACCAAGGAAUUUACAGGUGUCCCACUAGAAAAAGAUGUGUACCAAACAUGUUUUCCACAAUUUUUUUCAGGUUCAUGUGAAGACCUCACUGCAAGCCUUUCAGUGGUAGUUAACGAUGUGCACAUAUCAGAUAUUACGGACAUCCCAAGAAAUCACAUGAACCUAUCCAUACCAGUGAAUGGGCAGACAUUGCCGAGUACUACCCAUGUGAUUUUUACAAGUGUCCAGUCAAGAAAUGAUAGUUUUCUGGCAUUGGUGUUGACCUUGGAGUACUGUAAGUAUCCAGGUAGUAUUGUAAGUAUCCAGAGUUGGUAUGUCUCAUAG